AUGGAGUGGAUGUUUUUGGUUUUCUUAGUACAGAAGGAGAAAAAGCAACCAAAAAAAUACCAGUUAGUUUUGUUAACAAAAAAAAUGUACCUAUACUGGGAGAAGGUGCAACCAGUCAUCGGUCCAAAAUAUGAUCCGUUGGCAUUGUUGAGCCCACUGAUGAGGAACUGGACGAAAGAUAUGGCUGCGAGAAGAGACAAAUACGACUAUGAAUAUGGUCGUGGUGUUGGGAUGAUCGAUGACAACAUUACAGAGGAGUACAGGCUGAAAAAAUUUGGAGAAGAAGAAGCUAAAAAAACUAAGAAAGCUAGUACCAAAAAAUCUAACGUUACUGGAAGGAGGAAAGAGGGCAGUACCUCGGAGGCUUCGAUCCAGAAGCCUACUAUGGACCGGAUUUUGAGUGAGAUUAAUGAGCUUCAGAAGGAAAUGCUUCGUUUGCGAGAGUUAUGUGCACAGAGGAUGAUUGAGAAACUGAACAAAACCGGUGUCUUCUACAAACCUGGUAACCUCGAAGAAGAAGAAGAGAAUCUAUAUGGAGGCAUUAAUGAGUCUGGAAACGAUGGUGAAUUUCCGGAAAAAGAGUUUGUAUAUCAGAAAGAUGAUUCAGACCAGUUCCAUACACCUUCAAAAAUGAAUUUGCAAAAGGAUGAUGACGGCGUUGAUGUAACUUCUCGUGGAAACACACCUUUUUACUGCACACCUGAGUACAUGGAUAGUUUCAAGGGUGAUAUGGAUGAUCCUAUCGAAGUACCGAAGUAUCAGAUGAAAAAGCGGCCUCAUCUUUAG
rnacentral:rRNA from 1 species